rnacentral:tRNA from 1 species
GCAUGAGUGCCAGAUUAGAUGGGUUGGUUUUAAGCGCCGAUUAUGGGGUUUGUGCCUCCUUAUGUG